UUUUUGCAAUAGGUGUGGAACAUGGAAAUGAGAUAAACUCUGCAGUAGUUGCAGACAAGUGCGGUACUGCUCUGAGAAACACCAGGUGAGGGAGAACUUAGUAUUAUAUUUAAUUCUGCUUCACUGCUUCUACCUCGCUGCUUCUGCUUCACUGCCUUGGCUGAUUGUGGGUUGUCAUCUGUGGUAAGUGGUCUUUUUCUGAUUUUC